rnacentral:tRNA from 1 species
UCCUCGUUAGUAUAGUGGUCAGUAUCCCUCCCUGUCACGCGGGAGACCGGGGUUCGAUUCCCUGACGGGGAG